rnacentral:tRNA from 1 species
GGGGGUCUAGCUCAAAUGGGAGAGCGCUCGUUUAGCAUACGAGAGGCACGGGGAUCGAUACCCUGGUCCUCCA